UGUCUAACAAUUUCGUGGAGAUCAAAGGAAGUGUGUUUAAGAAGUUUGAGAAGAACAACCUCUUUCAGAUGUCUAACAGUGACAUAAAGGAGAGGUUCACUAACUAUGUUCUGUUACUCAUUGUCUGUCUACGGAACAUGGAGCAGUUCUCAUGGAACCCUGACCACCUGUGGGUGCUGUU